rnacentral:rRNA from 1 species
CACGGGGGGAGCAAGCGUUGUUCGGAAUCACUGGGCGUAAAGGGCGUGUAGGCGGUCAAGUAAGUGGAAUGUGAAAGCCCCCGGCUUACCCGGGGAUCUGCAUCCCAAACUGCUUGGCUUGAGUACGGGAGAGGAUGGAGGAAUUCCUGGUGUAGCGGUGAAAUGCGUAGAUAUCUGGAGGAACACCGGUGGCGAAGGCGGCAUCCUGGACCAUGACUGACGCUGAGGAGCGAAAGCCAGGGGAGCAAACGGG